GCAGUCUCCAGGCCUGGCUGCAUGGUGAGACGUCUGAACACGCACAGGAUGCCAAGCCUUCCAGAUGAAGAAUGGAUCACAGUGCCAACCAUGUGGACGUGGAUCUCCCCCAGAUGGGCUUUGGUGCAUCUCGCCCAUCUGUAAUAUUUCCUCCAUCCAGAUGUGAAAGCCAAGACUCUGAAAUAAAGGGAUUCGCCCUAAGGUCACACACACACAAAGCGAGUAAAUGAAGACGUCUGGAUUCCAACCCAGAGAGAUAUAUACACAUAGAUGAGAUGAAGCCAAAACAUAAAAGAUGGAAUUAAAACACGAUGCCCUGGCUCUGAAAUCUUGCCUCUCCCCACCCCACCUGCAGUUUACAGUGAAACCUUUUUUAAGAGCAUCAUGGGACGUUGGAUAGAAAUCCUUGAUCUCCUAGUUCUGAGGCACAUGUAAUUAUUUCACAGGUAAGUAGCCUCAAGGAUCUUUUCGAUAGAUAUGACUUCAUUUUGAGAGCAUCAUGCCUCUCCCAGCAGUAAUUGAGCUUUGGCUGGAGCCAAUGUGGGGGUUCUGGUAUGUGCUGGGUGACUCCCAAUCAGGUUCCCCUGGCUCCCAACCCAAACCAAGUGAGCUGGCCUUGGCUUUGGCUGAUCUCUGAAAACCAGCUCAUUCAUCCUGUCCAGA